rnacentral:rRNA from 1 species
AGGAUGAACGCUAGCUACCAGGCUUACACAUGCAAGUCGAGGGGCAGCAUGGUCUUAGCUUGCUAAGGCCGAUGGCGACCGGCGCACGGGUGAGUAACACGUAUCCAACCUGCCGUCUACUCUUGGACAGCCUUCUGAAAGGAAGAUUAAUACAAGAUGGCAUCAUGAGUCCGCAUGUUCACAUGAUUAAAGGUAUUCCGGUAGACGAUGGGGAUGCGUUCCAUUAGAUAGUAGGCGGGGUAACGGCCCACCUAGUCUUCGAUGGAUAGGGGUUCUGAGAGGAAGGUCCCCCACAUUGGAACUGAGACACGGUCCAAACUCCUACGGGAGGCAGCAGUGAGGAAUAUUGGUCAAUGGGCGAGAGCCUGAACCAGCCAAGUAGCGUGAAGGAUGACUGCCCUAUGGGUUGUAAACUUCUUUUAUAAAGGAAUAAAGUCGGGUAUGGAUACCCGUUUGCAUGUACUUUAUGAAUAAGGAUCGGCUAACUCCGUGCCAGCAGCCGCGGUAAUACGGAGGAUCCGAGCGUUAUCCGGAUUUAUUGGGUUUAAAGGGAGCGUAGAUGGAUGUUUAAGUCAGUUGUGAAAGUUUGCGGCUCAACCGUAAAAUUGCAGUUGAUACUGGAUAUCUUGAGUGCAGUUGAGGCAGGCGGAAUUCGUGGUGUAGCGGUGAAAUGCUUAGAUAUCACGAAGAACUCCGAUUGCGAAGGCAGCCUGCUAAGCUGCAACUGACAUUGAGGCUCGAAAGUGUGGGUAUCAACAGGAUAGAU